GACGAACGCUGGCGGCGUGCUUAACACAUGCAAGUCGAACGGAAAGGCCCUGCUUUUGUGGGGUGCUCGAGUGGCGAACGGGUGAGUAACACGUGAGUAACCUGCCCUUGACUUUGGGAUAACUUCAGGAAACUGGGGCUAAUACCGGAUAGGAGCUCCUGCUGCAUGGUGGGGGUUGGAAAGUUUCGGCGGUUGGGGAUGGACUCGCGGCUUAUCAGCUUGUUGGUGGGGUAGUGGCUUACCAAGGCUUUGACGGGUAGCCGGCCUGAGAGGGUGACCGGCCACAUUGGGACUGAGAUACGGACCAGACUCCUACGGGAGGCAGCGGUGGGGAAUAUUGCACAAUGGGCGGGAGCCUGAUGCAGCAACGCCGCGUGCGGGAUGACGGCCUUCGGGUUGUAAACCGCUUUCGCCUGUGACGAAGCGUGAGUGACGGUAAUGGGUAAAGAAGCACCGGCUAACUACGUG
rnacentral:rRNA from 1 species